UUCCUCUGUAGUUCAGUCGGUAGAACGGCGGACUGUUAAUCCGUAUGUCACUGGUUCGAGUCCAGUCAGAGGA
rnacentral:tRNA from 2 species